AACGAACGCUGGCGGCAGGCUUAACACAUGCAAGUCGAACGCCCCGCACGGGGAGUGGCAGACGGGUGAGUAACGCGUGGGAAUAUACCGUAACCUACGGAAUAACGCAUGGAAACGUGUGCUAAUACCGUAUACGCCCUACGGGGAAAGAUUUAUCGGGGUAUGAUGAGCCCGCGUUGGAUUAGCUAGUUGGUGGGGUAAAGGCCUACCAAGGCGACGAUCCAUAGCUGGUCUGAGAGGAUGAUCAGCCACAUUGGGACUGAGACACGGCCCAAACUCCUACGGGAGGCAGCAGUGGGGAAUAUUGGACAAUGGGCGCAAGCCUGAUCCAGCCAUGCCGCGUGAGUGAUGAAGGUCUUAGGAUUGUAAAGCUCUUUCACCGGAGAAGAUAAUGACGGUAUCCGGAGAAGAAGCCCCGGCUAACUUCGUGCCAGCCGCCGCGGUAACAC
rnacentral:rRNA from 1 species